GAUGAACGCUAGCGGCAGGCCUAACACAUGCAAGUCGAGGGAGAGGUUACCUUCGGGUACCCAACACCGGCGCACGGGUGCGUAACGCGUAUACAAUCUGCCUUUCACAUAGGGAUAGCCCGAAGAAAUUUGGAUUAAUACCUAAUGGUAUAUAAGAGCGGCAUCGUUUUUAUAUUAAAGCUACGGUGGUGAAAGAUGAGUAUGCAUUCUAUUAGCUAGUUGGAGAGGUAACGGCUCCCCAAGGCGACGAUAGAUAGGGGUUCUGAGAGGGAUGUCCCCCACACUGGUACUGAGAUACGGACCAGACUCCUACGGGAGGCAGCAGUGAGGAAUAUUGGACAAUGGUCGGAAGACUGAUCCAGCCAUGCCGCGUGCAGGAUGAAGGUCCUAUGGAUUGUAAACUGCUUUUGUAAGGGAAGAAUAAGGAGUACGUGUACUUUGAUGACGGUACCUUACGAAUAAGCAUCGGCUAACUCCGUG
rnacentral:rRNA from 1 species